rnacentral:rRNA from 1 species
ACGGGUGAGUAAUACAUCGGAACGUGCCUAGUAGUGGGGGAUAACUACUCGAAAGAGUAGCUAAUACCGCAUGAGAUCUACGGAUGAAAGCAGGGGACCUUCGGGCCUUGUGCUACUAGAGCGGCUGAUGGCAGAUUAGGUAGUUGGUGGGGUAAAGGCUUACCAAGCCUGCGAUCUGUAGCUGGUCUGAGAGGACGACCAGCCACACUGGGACUGAGACACGGCCCAGACUCCUACGGGAGGCAGCAGUGGGGAAUUUUGGACAAUGGGCGAAAGCCUGAUCCAGCAAUGCCGCGUGCAGGAUGAAGGCCCUCGGGUUGUAAACUGCUUUUGUACGGAACGAAAAGCCUGGGGCUAAUAUCCCCGGGUCAUGACGGUACCGUAAGAAUAAGCACCGGCUAACUACGUGCCAGCAGCCGCGGUAAUACGUAGGGUGCAAGCGUUAAUCGGAAUUACUGGGCGUAAAGCGUGCGCAGGCGGUUUUGUAAGACAGUGGUGAAAUCCCCGGGCUCAACCUGGGAACUGCCAUUGUGACUGCAAGGCUAGAGUGCGGCAGAGGGGGAUGGAAUUCCGCGU